rnacentral:rRNA from 1 species
AUUGAACGCUGGCGGCAUGCCUUACACAUGCAAGUCGAACGGCAGCACGGACUUCGGUCUGGUGGCGAGUGGCGAACGGGUGAGUAAAGUAUCGGAACGUACCUUUCAGUGGGGGAUAACGUAGCGAAAGUUACGCUAAUACCGCAUAUUCUGUGAGCAGGAAAGCAGGGGAUCGCAAGACCUUGCGCUGAUUGAGCGGCCGAUAUCAGAUUAGCUAGUUGGGGAGGUAAAGGCUCACCAAGGCGACGAUCUGUAGCGGGUCUGAGAGGAUGAUCCGCCACACUGGAACUGAGACACGGUCCAGACUCCUACGGGAGGCAGCAGUGGGGAAUUUUGGACAAUGGGGGCAACCCUGAUCCAGCCAUGCCGCGUGAGUGAAGAAGGCCUUCGGGUUGUAAAGCUCUUUCGGCCGGGAAGAAAUCGUAUCAGCUAAUACCUGGUGCGGAUGACGGUACCGGCAUAAGAAGCACCGGCUAACUACGUGCCAGCCGCCGCGGUAACAC